AACGAACGCUGGCGGCAUGCCUAACACAUGCAAGUCGAACGAGACCUUCGGGUCUAGUGGCGCACGGGUGCGUAACGCGUGGGAACCUGCCCUUAGGUUCGGAAUAACUCCCCGAAAGGGGUGCUAAUACCGGAUAAUGUCUUCGGACCAAAGAUUUAUCGCCUUUGGAUGGGCCCGCGUUGGAUUAGCUAGUUGGUAGGGUAAAAGCCUACCAAGGCGACGAUCCAUAGCUGGUCUGAGAGGAUGAUCAGCCACACUGGGACUGAGACACGGCCCAGACUCCUACGGGGGGCAGCAGUGGGGAAUUUUGGACAAUGGGCGAAAGCCUGAUCCAGCAAUGCCGGGUGAGUGAUGAAGGCCUUAGGGUUGUAAAGCUCUUUUACCCGGGAUGAUAAUGACCGUACCGGGAGAAUAAGCCCCGGCUAACUCCGU
rnacentral:rRNA from 1 species